rnacentral:lncRNA from 1 species
AUAUGAGAGAGAGCCAGAUCAAAGCCCGUUUGGAGAAAGAAAGAAAAUAAUCCCAAACUGCUCUUUUGAUGUCACAUUAGGCCAUUAAUAUACAUCAUGUCUGUUUAAUUUAAAACUUCUGACUAGUGCUGGUAUGACUUAAUUGCACACCUCUUGAGAUCCAGCAUUAAGUUACUGUGUGCUUGGAUGGGAAACAUGAUUUGUGCCAUAGUUAAUGAUGAGGUUUAGAGUCAAGUCCAGAGUCAUGCAUUCUCUGUACUCUUCACUGACCUGACUGCAUGUCUCUCGUAAAUAACAUCUUCAGUGGAUGAAGGGACCAUAAAUCUGUCCCACGAUGGGUCUCUCCACCCUGUUCCACUCUCUUCCUGGACAUUACCUUUUGAUUCCCUGGAGUAUAAUGAGAAGUCUGUUGAGCUAGCCGAAGAAGCAGUCAUAAAUUUCUAGAAAGAAGCUGGAAGGAGAAACUAAGGGUACUACAGAGCGAGUAGACUUAAUGUGAACAGUUCUAAGUCAGAGGUAAGGAUCAUGCAAAGCUGGUGUGUAUGUGUGGGAACUGGCACUCUUGGGAAAGGGACAACCAGUGUGAGAUAACCAGCAUGGUCUGAAACCAUGAGCCUCAUAUACAAUACAUAGGUGUUUAUAGACAAUUAGGAGGGGAAAAAAAGAAAGAAAAAAGAGAAAGUUCAUAAUAACUUGGCACGCUUCUCUCAGUCCAUAAAGGUAGUAUAAACUUUAGAUGAGCUCCUUGUAUUGUUGGAGAAAGAAUGAUAAGGACCAGACACAAUGUCAAGGUUGGUUAGAUUUUCUAAAGGUCAUUUAGUGAGCUCUGACUGAGAUUAACAUAUUAGGUUAGAGCAUCUUAAAUUUCUCCCAAACAAUCUCAAGGAAAACAAAAAUGAACACAUAUCUUUGGCAACUGGAGAGACAAUGCCAGCACUGCAAGCAAAAUUUUCUUUGAAAUGCUCUGUUAUAUCCUAAAAAUUUGUACAAAUGUUGCAUUCUAUACAUACUGUGUAUUUUAAUAUAAAAUAUUUAAGUUAAAGACCGUUUAGCAAAAUCAAUUCUCCCAGAAAUUGUGUCCCAUUAGUCUAUGAUUUUGCAAAGCCCAUAGCCCAUUGCCAAGGGAAUCUCUGAGAUUUGAGAAGCAGAUGAAGAGCAAUUAGCUCAAUUUCAAAUGUUGUAUCUGAAAAUAUUGUGAUAUUCAGUUAAGUGUAUUCAACCAUUUAGCCAAAUAUUUUAAUAACCUGUAGAAACCCAGGGAAUAUAAUUGUAAACUUUGGCCUGCUCUGUUCUCAG